CCUACGGGUGGCAGCAGUGGGGAAUAUUGGGCAAUGGGCGCAACCCUGACCCAGCAACGCCGCGUGAGUGAAGAAGGCUUUCGGGUUGUAAAGCUCUGUUAAGAGGGAAGAGAAGAAGACGGUAACUCUUGAAUAAGCCACGGCUAAAUACGUGCCAACAGCCGCGGUAAAACGGGGGUGGCAAGGGUUGUCCGGGUUUACUGGGUGGAAAGGGGGUGCAGCCGGGAAGGCAAGUCCGGAGUGAAAACCCGCGGCUCAACCGCGGAACUGCAUUUGAAACUGGUUUUCUUGAGUGCCGGAGAGGUCAUCGGAAUUCCUUGUGUAGCGGUGAAAUGCGUAGAUAUAAGGAAGAACACCAGUGGCGAAGGCGGAUGACUGGACGGCAACUGACGGUGAGGCGCGAAAGCGUGGGGAGCAAACAGGAUUAGAUACCCUUGUAGUC
rnacentral:rRNA from 1 species